UUUCCGUAGGUGAACCUGCGGAAGGAUCAUUACCUGAUAGACGCCCUCCGGGGCACUAUCCCACCCGUGUCUACAUACUUUUGUUGCUUUGGCGGGUCGUGGUUCGCCACUGCGGGCUCUGCUCGCACGUGCCCGCCAGAGGACCAAACUCUGAAGUUUAGUGACGUCUGAGAACUAUACAAAUAGUAAAAACUUUCAACAACGGAUCUCUUGGUUCUGGCAUCGAUGAAGAACGCAGC
rnacentral:misc_RNA from 1 species